rnacentral:rRNA from 1 species
GUCUACAGCCGUGCCACCCUGAACAAGCCUGAUCCCGUCUGAUCUCGGAAGCUUAGCAGGGUUGGGCCUGGUUAGUACUUGGUUGGGAGACCACCUAGGAAGACUAGCUGCUGUAGGCA